AUCGAGAGAGAGAAGAGAGCAUAUGAACUGGGUAUGGCCUGUGUAGGUACAUAAGGAUUCAAGUUUGAAGAAAAUGUGGCGUUACCUAGCCUUGGCGGCAUCUGUUGUUGUGAUGUUUCUCUUGACUGAUGAUGGAGCUGAGCAGCCCAAGGAAAAGGAACUGAACGAGAGAACUGCGGCCUUGCGAGACACCAUCCAGUGCCAGAGAGAGCAGCGCAUGAACUUGGACAGGACAAUUCUUCAGCUGCAUGAAGAGAUACAAAAGGCGGGCGGAAGGGAAGAAGCCACUCGUGUAAUAAAGAUCACUCAAGAGGUGUUCUGGCAAGACAGGGCCUACUUGCUCGAAGCUAAAGCGUUGUCUCUGAAAAGGGAGAACGAUCAAGAGACGAGGGAGAAACGGCAGCUGGAAGACAAGAUCCUCAAGAUGCCAGACGAAAAUCAGCAGCUGAAGAAGAACACGAAGGAAAUCGGGCCGAGAAACGAUGCCCUAUGUGAUAUGAUAAGGAAAGUGGGAGUACAGUUGAAAGAGGCAGACUACCUGCUUGAGAUCCUGGAGAAACUCCAACAACAGAAGGAGAAAGACUGAAGAAGCAGCGCGGAUGACGAGGCUCAUCCAGGAACAAAACGGCGCAACUGAAAAGCGGGAAUCCGACAGGAAAGACCUCGAGCUGAGGUUCCAACGCCUGCAUAAGGAUUUGGAAGAUCUCUGCAAGAAAAAGUGUGUACUCCAGUCUCCAGUGUGAAGUUGAGGAGCGAAACUCGAGAGGAACGAGCUGGCAUGCCUUCUAGAGGAACGAAAUCGUCGCCUGGAGUCGCUGGAGAGAAAGGCCGGAGUCCAGGGCGAAGGGAACGACCAGCUGGAAGAUGAGGUUCGACAUCUGCGAGGAACGAAGGAGAAAUUGGUGAGCGACCUGAAGAACCUCCAGGAGAACUACAGACGCCUGGAGAUUCGAGAACCACUGGAAAGUGCAGAAGCUGCUGUCGAUCUUCAAGGAAUGGCGCGAUCAAGUGUGGGCUGGCCUCGCUCAGACGGAUAAGAUGUGAAAAAUUUGAGGAGAAUGUUUGUUAUAUGGAAAGUUUGAUGUUUAUUUGUAAUAAUUUGCUUUGUUAAUCAUUGAAGGAAAGUGAACUUGAACGGAAAUAAAUAUGUUAAAACGUUU